CUGUUUCCCAUGGUACCUGAAGAGACCUGGCCCGCUGCACAGCUGUGGUGUGACGCGCGCGGCCUUGUGGGAGUUGUAUACCGGACUACAUUUCCCAUGGUGCCCUGGGAGACUCAGUUUCUGAUGGCCGUGUGUUCGAGGCCGGUGGCCGAGGCUGAGUUGACUUAGCGGGGCCAUGGAGGGUGGCUUCGGCUUGGAUUCCGGGGGAUCUGGCGGCGGGAAACUGGACCCAGGAUUUAUCAUGGAGCAGGUGAAAGUGCAGAUUGCCGUGGCCAACGCGCAGGAGCUACUGCGGGUACUGCGUACACCGGAAUGGGGGUGAGGCGGAGAGGCUAACCCCGGGAAGCGGGCAUUGCGGUCGCGGUUUCGCCUGUGUCCACAGAGGAUGACUGACAAGUGUUUCCGGAAGUGCAUUGGGAAGCCAGGGGGAUCCCUGGACAAUUCGGAACAGAAAAUGCAUCGCCACGUGUAUGGAUCGCUACAUGGACGCCUGGAACACCGUGUCCCGCGCCUGUAAUUCACGACUGCAACGGGAACGAGCCAACAACACGUAACUGGGAAGCGCUGUAGUAGCCGUGGAGCCCACCCGCAGUCACCCCCACCACCGUCCAUCUCUGUAAAUGUGUUUUGUGAGGCAGGGCUAGCCUGCCCGUGGCGUCCAAGCAUGACACAAUUGUAAGGGGACAGUUGAGCCUGUCCCUUGCCAACCAGUGCAGCUUGGGUUUGGGGGAACCCGUGCUUUCUUGUCAGCUCAGUGGAUUUCCUUUGGGGCUGGGAGUCCCUGGCCCCUCCCCUAGUGUGGCCAGGUCAGCCCUCUGCCCUGGGCUGAAAACCUUUGUUUUGACCUUGUUGGGGUGGAGGUGGUGAGACUCUAGGGUGGCUGUGGCCUCCUGAGGGUGGACCAAUAAAUUGCUGAACCAGGGCCAAAGAAA